rnacentral:rRNA from 1 species
AGGUUAAUGAGGCGAACCGGGGGAACUGAAACAUCUAAGUACCCCGAGGAAAAGAAAUCAACCGAGAUUCCCCCAGUAGCGGCGAGCGAACGGGGAGGAGCCCAGAGCCUGAAUCAGUGUGUGUGUUAGUGGAAGCGUCUGGAAAGGCGCGCGAUACAGGGUGACAGCCCCGUACACAAAAAUGCACAUACUGUGAGCUCGAUGAGUAGGGCGGGACACGUGGUAUCCUGUCUGAAUAUGGGGGGACCAUCCUCCAAGGCUAAAUACUCCUGACUGACCGAUAGUGAACCAGUACCGUGAGGGAAAGGCGAAAAGAACCCCGGCGAGGGGAGUGAAAAAGAACCUGAAACCGUGUACGUACAAGCAGUGGGAGCCUCUUAAUGGGGUGACUGCGUACCUUUUGUAUAAUGGGUCAGCGACUUAUAUUCUGUAGCAAGGUUAACCGAAUAGGGGAGCCGAAGGGAAACCGAGUCUUAACUGGGCGUUAAGUUGCAGGGUAUAGACCCGAAACCCGGUGAUCUAGCCAUGGGCAGGUUGAAGGUUGGGUAACACUAACUGGAGGACCGAACCGACUAAUGUUGAAAAAUUAGCGGAUGACUUGUGGCUGGGGGUGAAAGGCCAAUCAAACCGGGAGAUAGCUGGUUCUCCCCGAAAGCUAUUUAGGUAGCGCCUCGUGAAUUCAUCUCCGGGGGUAGAGCACUGUUUCGGCAAGGGGGUCAUCCCGACUUACCAACCCGAUGCAAACUGCGAAUACCGGAGAAUGUUAUCACGGGAGACACACGGCGGGUGCUAACGUCCGUCGUGAAGAGGGAAACAACCCAGACCGCCAGCUAAGGUCCCAAAGUCAUGGUUAAGUGGGAAACGAUGUGGGAAGGCCCAGACAGCCAGGAUGUUGGCUUAGAAGCAGCCAUCAUUUAAAGAAAGCGUAAUAGCUCACUGGUCGAGUCGGCCUGCGCGGAAGAUGUAACGGGGCUAAACCAUG